GAAAUGCGAUAAGUAGUGUGAAUUGCAGAAUUCAGUGAAUCAUCGAAUCUUUGAACGCACAUUGCGCCCUUUGGUAUUCCUUAGGGCAUGCCUGUUCGAGCGUCAUCUAAACCUUCAAGCCCUGCUUGGUGUUGGGAGCCUGUCCCGCCUCCGCGCGCGGACUCACCUCAAAUCCAUUGGCGGUCCCCGCGUCGGCCACGAGCGCAGCAGAAACGCGAACUCGUGAGCCCGUCCGGGCGGCUCCCAGAAGCUACACCCACCCAGUUUGACCUCGGAUCAGGUAGGGAUACCCGCUGAACUUAAGC
rnacentral:misc_RNA from 1 species